GACGAACGCUGGCGGCGUGCUUAACACAUGCAAGUCGAACGCUGAAGCUCAGCUUUUGUUGGGUGGAUGAGUGGCGAACGGGUGAGUAACACGUGAGUAACCUGCCCCCUUCUUUGGGAUAACGCCCGGAAACGGGUGCUAAUACUGGAUAUUCACUGGUCUUCGCAUGGGGGUUGGUGGAAAGGGUUUUUCUGGUUGGGGAUGGGCUCGCGGCCUAUCAGCUUGUUGGUGGGGUGAUGGCCUACCAAGGCUUUGACGGGUAGCCGGCCUGAGAGGGUGACCGGUCACAUUGGGAGUGAGGUACGGCCGAGACUCCUACGGGGGGCAGCAGUGGGGAAUAUUGCACAAUGGGCGCAAGCGUGAUGCAGCGGCGCCGCGUGAGGGAUGGAGGCCUUCGGGUUGUGAACCUCUUUCGCUCAUGGUGAAGCCGCAACAAUGGUUGUGGUGAGAGUAGUGGGUAAAGAAGCGCCGGCUAACUACGUG
rnacentral:rRNA from 1 species